rnacentral:rRNA from 1 species
UACGGAGGGUGCAAGCGUUAUCCGGAUUCACUGGGUUUAAAGGGUGCGUAGGCGGGUAAGUAAGUCCGUGGUGAAAUCUCUGAGCUUAACUCAGAAACUGCCGUGGAUACUAUUUGCCUUGAAUAUUUGUGGAGGUGAGCGGAAUAUGUCAUGUAGCGGUGAAAUGCUUAGAUAUGACAUAGAACACCAAUUGCGAAGGCAGCUCACUACACAAUCAUUGACGCUGAGGCACGAAAAGCGUGGGGGAUCAAAACAGG